UAAACACAGGAGAUGGUGUUGAUGAGUAAACACAGGAGAUGGUGUUGAUGAGUAAACACAGGAGAUGGUGUUGAUGAUGAGUAAACACAGGAGAUGGUGUUGAUGGUGAGUAAACACAGGAGAUGGUGUUGAUGGUGAGUAAACACAGGAGUUGGUGUUGAUGGUGAGUAAACACAGGAGAUGGUGUUUGAUGAUAAACACAGGAGAUGGUGUUGAUGGUGAGUAAGCACAGGAGAUGGUGUUGAUGGUGAGUAAACACAGGAGGAAUUGAGUAGCACAUGCUGUAUCACAUGAGCCUGCUCUUGGUGUGGGGGAUUUUAUAACACUGAUGGGUUUAAAUCAACUGAAAAAAGAUGAUGAUUAGAAAAACAAACAUUGUUAUGCCCAUUAGCGCACAAGUUACAUGCAGCGUGUAAGAAUUACUUCCGCUCGUGUGAGUGGUUUGUCAUAUCAUGGUUAUCUUUUACAAUCCUUCAAUGGUUUUACAAAUAGUAAUCAUAGCUUCAAUCUCAGCUAUCUCGGUGAAUCAGGAUAAGAUUGUUAAGCCCGUACAAGCCAAGGUUCCAGCCACCACAACGAUUGCUUUUUAAUUACGCGUGUAAUGAUAUCCAGCCUUCUGCACCUUUGGAAAGUCCGUACUCCCAUGAGAGUCUGAUAUUAAAAAGUGGAGAGAGGGGAGAAAAAAAAUGUACUAAAACUGAUUUCAUCAAAAAUCUUCUGGAACAAAAUCCCACACACACUCCCCCAGGUGCAGAGAGAGCAAACGUUCUAAUAAGGCUCCCGCCCUGCCUGUGUGUGCGAACGCUGGAUUAUCGGAUAUUAAUAUGCACUGGACGCUCAUCACAGCGGAUUCAGAAUAGCAUCCUUUGUUUGCACAUCGAUAUUAGACUCGCCAGAUUUAAUCAUGAUGGUAAACAAUGAAAAUGGCAAAAAAAAAAAAAAAAAAAACGAGAAAGAAAGAUAAAGGAUAAAGAGAGAGGAAGCACAAGAGACAGGAUGAGAGAAAGUAAAAGAUAUUCAUCAGGGAUAAUGAUACACCUUGAUCUUUUUUUUUUUUUUUUUUUUUACCUUAUUUGACAUUAUAGUUCUUAGCUCAUUCUUACAAUAUGGAGUCUUAAACUUACUUCACCUGCUCUUCCGCAAAAAGAAAGAAAGAAAGAAAGAAAGAAAGAAAGAAAGAAAGAAAGAAAGAAAUGUAGACAGAAAAAUAUAUUAAGGGUAAACAGGCAUUCAAGAAAGAAAGAAAGAAGGAAAGAAGGAAGGAAAGAAAGAAAGAAAGAAAAUGUAGUUAGGGAAAAUAGUUCAGUAUGAACAGCCAUUCAAGUAAA
ensembl:lncRNA